UACGUAGGGGCCGAGCGUUGUCCGGAGUUACUGGGCGUAAAGCGCGCGCAGGCGGCUCGUCAAGCCUGACGUGAAAGCCCCCGGCUCAACUGGGGAGGGUCAUUCGAUACUGUCCGACUCGAAGGCAGGAGAGGGAAGCGGAAUUCCCGGUGUAGUGGUGAAAUGCGUAGAUAUCGGGAGGAACACCAGUGGCGAAGGCGGCUUUCUGGCCUGUUCUUGACGCUGAGGCGCGAAAGCCAGGG
rnacentral:rRNA from 1 species